rnacentral:rRNA from 1 species
AGAACGAACGCUGGCGGCAUGCCUAAUACAUGCAAGUCGAACGAACACUUCGGUGUUAGUGGCGCACGGGUGCGUAACGCGUGGGAAUCUGCCCUUGGGUUCGGAAUAACAGUUGGAAACGACUGCUAAUACCGGAUGAUAUCGAAAGAUCAAAGAUUUAUCGCCCAGGGAUGAGCCCGCGUAGGAUUAGCUAGUUGGUGAGGUAAAGGCUCACCAAGGCGACGAUCCUUAGCUCGGUCUGAGAGGAUGAUCAGCCACACUGGGACUGAGACACGGCCCAGACCUCCGUACGGGGAGGCA